CAUCGCCUUUCUCACAUGAGAUGGAGUUCUGGGGACACGCUCUUGUGCUCCGGUUCACAUUUUGAGGCUUAAUGCCCCAAGAAGAGCAGUCUGGCUUGUGGGGCCUCAGGAGGCGGGUCUCCUCGGGAGGACAGACCCCAGGUGGGCCAGUCUGUCCCCGCCACGGGGGCCUCGUUGGGGCUGAGAGGGUGGUGAGUGGACGUGCGCAGCUGCGCCCGACGGGGCUGGCGAGAGAGGACAGAGCGCAGACGGGCCUGCUGCUGGGCCGCCCCGGGCCCCUGCCCCAAGGCUCCGAACCCCCUCUUCCCCGCCGCUGCCGGCAGCCGGCAGACUCCUGUUGAUGCCUUGGACUUGGCCCUCAACAGACCGUCAUUGAUUCUAUCGGAUGUAGAAAAAGCACAUGCAUUGCUUCUAAAACACAGCAGCUCUUUAAAAAAAAAAAGCAGACCAGCGUGGCAGGCGCUCCCUGUAGCUCUCGGGGAGGAGGUCGGGACAGGGUGUGACCAGAGCUCGUCUGCUCUCCUGCGCCUCGCUCUGUUCCAGCCCCGCACCCGCCGCCAGCCCUGCUCCAGCCCCUUCUCCGUUGCCACCCCCUGCUGCACCCCCGCCACCCAGAGCUCCCCAGACGAACUCAGGCUCCAAGCCCUGUGUCCUCCCACCAGCUGGGCGCCCACCGGCUAUGCUCCUGCCCGACCCCUGACCUUGGGAGGGCUCCUUGCCCCUCUACUCAAGGACCACAGAAGUGCUUCCUGCAGCAGACUCUAAGCCUCUGACUGUGUGACAGUGGCACUCAGGGCGUGCCUACCGAGGGGCCACCGCUAAAGCGUCAGGACUUCAUGUUGUACGUCGCUUCAUGGCAAACAGACGGGGAAACGGUGGACACAGUGGCUGACUUUAUUCUUCUGGGCUCCAAAAUCACUGCAGAUGGUGACUGCAGCCAUGAAAUUAAAAGACGCUUACUCCUUGGAAGGAAAGUUAUGACCAACUUCGACAGCAUAUUAAAAAGCAGAGACAUUACUUUGCCUACAAAGGUCCAUCUAGUCAAGGCUAUGGUUUUUCCUGUGGUCAUGUAUGGAUAUGAGAGUUAACUGUGAAGAAAGCUGAGUGCCAAAGAAUUGAUGCUUUUGAACUGUGGUGUUGGAGAAGACUCUUGAGAGUCCCUUGGACUGCAAGGAGAUCCAACCAGUCCAUCUUAAAGGAGACCAGUCCUGGGUGUUCAUUGGAAGGACUGAUGCUGAAGCUGAAACUCCAGUACUUUGGCCACCUCAUGUGAAGAGUUGACUCAUUGGAAAAGGCCCUGAUGCUGGGAGGGAUUGGGGGCAGGAGGAGAAGGGGACGACAGAGGAUGAGAUGGCUGGAUGGCAUCACCAAAUCGAUGAACAUGGGUUUGGGUGGGAGUUGGUGAUGGACAGGGAGGCCUGGCAUGCUGUGAUUCAUCGGGUCGCACAGAGUCGGACCCGACUGAGCAACUGGACUGAGCUGAGCUGAGCUGAGCUGAGCUCACGCUAAGGGGCAGCUCACACCCACAGCACGUCUCCUGCUUCAAACGUCCCUCGGGCAGGUGGGCCCCGGGUCCCCGCGCCCCCCGGGGGUGGAGGCAGCACUGACUCAGGCCCACACUAGGGGCCCCUGAAGCCCCAGAGGCCUCGUCCAGAGAAGCAGGCUCGACCCCUCCAAUGGGCCUUGCUCUCCAGGAGGCCCAUCAACCCCGGGGUCUGCACCCUGAACGCUCGGCUUGGCAGA